rnacentral:rRNA from 1 species
AGUGAACGCUGGCGGUAGGCCUAACACAUGCAAGUCGAACGGCAGCACAGUAAGAGCUUGCUCUUACGGGUGGCGAGUGGCGGACGGGUGAGGAAUACAUCGGAAUCUACUUUUCGUGGGGGAUAACGUAGGGAAACUUACGCUAAUACCGCAUACGACCUACGGGUGAAAGCAGGGGAUCUUCGGACCUUGCGCGAUUGAAUGAGCCGAUGUCGGAUUAGCUAGUUGGCGGGGUAAAGGCCCACCAAGGCGACGAUCCGUAGCUGGUCUGAGAGGAUGAUCAGCCACACUGGAACUGAGACACGGUCCAGACUCCUACGGGAGGCAGCAGUGGGGAAUAUUGGACAGUGGGCGCAAGCCUGAUCCAGCCAUACCGCGUGGGUGAAGAAGGCCUUCGGGUUGUAAAGCCCUUUUGUUGGGAAAGAAAAGCAGCAGGUUAAUACCCCGCUGUUCUGACGGUACCCAAAGAAUAAGCACCGGCUAACUUCGU